UUAAAACCUCAAAAAGGGCAAAGCCACAACGUUGCAAGCUAAACCAUGAAGAUGGGUUCAGCGGGCUUAGCUUCAAUCUUCAGCAAUGGCUACUACCGUUGUCUCAGUGCUCCGGUGCCCCUCCUGCGCAUGUUAGCCUCGACGAAUGUUUCUGCCUUGCAUAGGCAUGACAAGAGCAACAACAAGAGUACUGUUUUGUCUUGUUUGAGUUCAAGCAAGAGAGAGCUCUCUUGUUUAUCUUCCAAAGUGGAUAUUGCUCAGACAGCUACUACUUCUGUAAAUAGCUAUCCCGAAUAUAAUCGGUUGGUUCCAUGCCCCUCACACAAUGGCCCGCCAAGAGUUGAACACUUGGUUAUUUCUGAAGGAGGGCCUGUUCUAGAGUACAUCUGUAGAGCACUGGAUCUUCCUCCUUCGUUUGUUGCAGAUCUCAUCCACUUUGGAGCAGUAUAUUAUGCCCUUGUGUGUCCACAGCCUCCUCCAAGUGCCACCCCAGAGCAAAUUAGGAUAUUUAAGGAAGUAACAGAACCAUCAGUUUUGAGAAAAAGAGCAUCCAUUAAGGGAAAAACUGUACGAGAAGCACAGAAGACCUUCCGUAUAACACAUGCUGAUCAGUUUGUUGAAGCUGGAACAUACUUACGUGUGCAUGUACACCCCAAACGUUUCCCAAGGUGUUAUGAAAUUGACUGGAAAUCGAGAAUUAUAGCUGUGACUGACUCUUAUGUGGUUUUGGACAAACCUGCUGGUACAUCUGUUGGAGGAACUACAGAUAAUAUUGAAGAAAGUUGUGUAACAUUUGCCACUCGUGCCUUGGGAUUUUCCACCCCAUUGAAGACUACUCAUCAGAUAGAUAAUUGCACAGAAGGCUGUGUUGUGUUAGCUAGGACUAAGGAGUAUUGCUCAGUUUUUCAUGGAAAAAUCAGAGAGAAAAAGGUGAAGAAACUUUAUCUUGCUCUCACAGCUGCUCCUGUACCAAUUGGAUUAAUAACACACUAUAUGCGUCCAAUCAACAUUGCUCCUAGACUUGUCUCAGAAGACUUUAUUAAAGGUUGGUACUUGUGUCAACUUGAGGUUAUGGAAUGCAAGGAGGUUCCCUGGCCAGAUUCCUCCAUUCAAGAAAAUUACUGUAUUGAAGACUCUGGGUGGCCUUCAAAAGAUCAUGCUUAUGAGUGUAAAAUAAACCUUUUGACUGGUCGGACUCAUCAGGUUCGCGCACAACUGGCUGCCUGUGGGGCACCAAUAGUGGGUGACUCAAUGUACAUGCCAGCUGCUAUUGCAGAGGUGGCCAAUCCUGGGCUUAACCCAUUUGGUAAAUGUAAGAAGUACACUAGUGACAAUGAUAAAGAAAUGGCUAUUACAGAGUGGAUUGCCCAGUAUGGAAAAGAGCCAAGUGUUGCCAUUGGCCUUCAGGCAUGUCAAAUUUCAUGGGAUGAUGGUGAGCACUUUUAUGAAGCAAGAUCUCCCUGGUGGAGAUCCAGAAAGGCUUAGAUUAAAGUACCUGAUUCAGAAAGGAGAAAUUUACAAUUCACAGGGUGAGAAGGCAUUAUCCAUCUUAUUUUCUGACGACCUUGUAAAUGAAGGGGACUGAAAAUGAUACAAGAUCAGCUACAUCCUUGGAGGAGAUUUCUUAAGAAUCUUUCAUUGUUAGGAUUUUACUUUCAUUGUUAAGGCCAACACUAAGGACGAUUCUGAGCAUGUUCUGCUUUCUAGUCUUUUACUUUGCCAUGCUUUGAGAUGAAUUUUUUGUACCAAGUUGCUGACAAUUUUGGACUUCUCCUCAGCGUCUUAUAGUCAACGUGGUGAAGUCCGAACUGAACGUAUAUCCAAAAUUCCAUUCAAAGUUGUCUAGAAAGACCAGGCAAAGUAACCCCUCACAUCUGCUCCUUUCCUGAUAGCAUUAAGAGAACAAGAUUAAUCCCUUAUCUUCAAUGUCACAGUAUACAUAAUAUUUGCUCACUUUACCAGCUUUUCAGCAUGGUAAGGCUAUUCAAUGGACCAGAGGAGGUCUCCUACGGUGUGGACUAUGGAGCUAAACUUGAAAAUUUGUGAACCGCAAGAAUAGUAAGAAGCUUGCACAACGAUGUAGGAGAAAGCCACUUACCCAAUGUAAUGGCAGUGCAUCCAAGAAUCCAGCCAUGUGCUUUAUUCGUUUAAUAUCAUGUAAAAAUUCUUCAGUGAUGGAUUUUGCUUCGCUCAUCUCACCGCACGAUACUAUGAGCAAAUAUGUAAGUU